AUUGAACGCUGGCGGCAGGCCUAACACAUGCAAGUCGAACGGUAACAGGAAGCAGCUUGCUGCUUUGCUGACGAGUGGCGGACGGGUGAGUAAUGUCUGGGAAACUGCCCGAUGGAGGGGGAUAACUACUGGAAACGGUAGCUAAUACCGCAUAACGUCGCAAGACCAAAGAGGGGGACCUUAGGGCCUCUUGCCAUCGGAUGUGCCCAGAUGGGAUUAGCUAGUAGGUGGGGUAACGGCUCACCUAGGCGACGAUCCCUAGCUGGUCUGAGAGGAUGACCAGCCACACUGGAACUGAGACACGGUCCAGACUCCUACGGGAGGCAGCAGUGGGGAAUAUUGCACAAUGGGCGAAAGCCUGAUGCAGCCAUGCCGCGUGUAUGAAGAAGGCCUUCGGGUUGUAAAGUACUUUCAGCGGGGAGGAAGGGAGUAAAGUUAAUACCUUUGCUCAUUGACGUUACCCGCAGAAGAAGCACCGGCUAACUCCGUG
rnacentral:rRNA from 1 species